rnacentral:rRNA from 1 species
CACCGCGGUUAUACGAGGGGCCCGAGCUGACAGUCCCCGGCGUAAAGCGUGGUUAAGGUACACCCCUAAUACAAAUUAAAGUCGAAUGCCCUCAAAGCUGUUAUACGCUCUCGAAGGCAAGAAGCCCACUCACGUAAGUAACUUUAUUAAACUGAACCCACGAAAGCUGCGGCA